CCGCUGGAGCUUCAUUUCAAUCUGAAAAACUCACACAGAGAGAAAAGAUAAUUAGAAGAAUUUAUUGAUAAGAAAGUAUAGUCUUUGGCGCUCAGACCUCGGCAGGAACAUUCAUGCUGAAUUAUGCUUUAACAUGCAUGAGUAGAUGAAUGUGAAUAGGGAUGUUCCCCCCCGGGCCUGAAACUGGUGGUGGUUUAAUCCGAGCUGGUUGACAAGGUGAUCUGCUGGGCAGAAUUGUGGGACUAGAAGACUGAGGGAGCUGACGCCGGGGCUUCACUCAGACUCGGGAUAAAGAGGUCCUGCUUGGUGAUGCAGGUACCGUGAACUGUCCAUGAUGAGCAAGCAUGAAGCGACAGUGGAGAGGAAAAACUCCCCUUGGGAAGAAACCUCUGGCAGAACCGGGCUCAACAUGGUGGUCUUCUGCCGGACCAAUGCGAUGAGACGAGGGAUGGUGACAACUGGGAUUAAUACUCUCUGAUGAGGUUGAGGUGAAGUCGUGUCAUGGAGGACGAUUCAGCUGCGAUGGCGGAGAAGGGGAUGGAGGUGUGUGAAUUGUCGUCUGAAUCGAAGUCCAACAUUGCGAUUGCAGGAUAGCGGCUGUGGUGAGAUUUGAGGGAGUUUAUAAAGUGGAAGCAGGACGCUGAUUUGG